rnacentral:rRNA from 1 species
AGAGUUUGAUCCUGGCUCAGGAUGAACGCUGGCGGCGUGCCUAAUACAUGCAAGUCGAGCGAACGGACGAGAAGCUUGCUUCUCUGAUGUUAGCGGCGGACGGGUGAGUAACACGUGGAUAACCUACCUAUAAGACUGGGAUAACUUCGGGAAACCGGAGCUAAUACCGGAUAAUAUUUUGAACCGCAUGGUUCAAAAGUGAAAGACGGUCUUGCUGUCACUUAUAGAUGGAUCCGCGCUGCAUUAGCUAGUUGGUAAGGUAACGGCUUACCAAGGCAACGAUGCAUAGCCGACCUGAGAGGGUGAUCGGCCACACUGGAACUGAGACACGGUCCAGACUCCUACGGGAGGCAGCAGUAGGGAAUCUUCCGCAAUGGGCGAAAGCCUGACGGAGCAACGCCGCGUGAGUGAUGAAGGUCUUCGGAUCGUAAAACUCUGUUAUUAGGGAAGAACAUAUGUGUAAGUAACUGUGCACAUCUUGACGGUACCUAAUCAGAAAGCCACGGCUAACUACGUGCCAGCAGCCGCGGUAAUACGUAGGUGGCAAGCGUUAUCCGGAAUUAUUGGGCGUAAAGCGCGCGUAGGCGGUUUUUUAAGUCUGAUGUGAAAGCCCACGGCUCAACCGUGGAGGGUCAUUGGAAACUGGAAAACUUGAGUGCAGAAGAGGAAAGUGGAAUUCCAUGUGUAGCGGUGAAAUGCGCAGAGAUAUGGAGGAACACCAGUGGCGAAGGCGACUUUCUGGUCUGUAACUGACGCUGAUGUGCGAAAGCGUGGGGAUCAAACAGGAUUAGAUACCCUGGUAGUCCACGCCGUAAACGAUGAGUGCUAAGUGUUAGGGGGUUUCCGCCCCUUAGUGCUGCAGCUAACGCAUUAAGCACUCCGCCUGGGGAGUACGACCGCAAGGUUGAAACUCAAAGGAAUUGACGGGGACCCGCACAAGCGGUGGAGCAUGUGGUUUAAUUCGAAGCAACGCGAAGAACCUUACCAAAUCUUGACAUCCUUUGACAACUCUAGAGAUAGAGCCUUCCUCUUCGGGGGACAAAGUGACAGGUGGUGCAUGGUUGUCGUCAGCUCGUGUCGUGAGAUGUUGGGUUAAGUCCCG